ACCGCCCCGCCCCACGUUCGCCCGGCUAGCGCACGAGGUGCCGUGGGUGAUUGUUCGGGUGGCCUUACAUGGUUUUCUUCUACUUUAUAGUAGGAACCGGGGAAUUCUUGGAGAUUUGCGGUGAAUUUCUUGAAGAUUGCAGCAAUGAAGGUAGUGAAUUUCUUGAAGAUUUGCAAUAGUUAGAUAUUUCUCUAUGACAUGGUCUUAGGGUUUGCAGAAUUAGAAGCAGUUUGUUCUUCUUUGAGAAUUCGUCGAUAUGAGCUUCGUACCCGUUUUUUCGUGAUUUAGGUUUCCUUUUUAAAAAGAAUUGAAGUGGUUCAGGUAUCUUAUGAAACUGGGAGUGUCUCUUCGUUAAUCUACAGGAAUCAGCGGUGUUGUGUUUUAAUUGGAUUCUGAGUGUUGCCCAUACGACUGUACAAGUUCAAGCUUGCCUCAUGAUUUUCUUAUAUUUGGUUGAAGAAUCGUUGCGGGAUUAUGAGUUUUUGUUUUUUUUUUCCAUAUAUUAUGGUCAGCUUGAAAACAUCGCAGAAGCAUUAUCUUGUAGCUAGACGAUGGUUUCUGAUGUUGAUGGUGCUGAUAGUUCCUGAUCCCGAUUUAAUGUUACUUCAGGUUCAAUACUAGAUGUCGGACCAGAGAAGCAUGAUUUAGAGGCUGGAAUUCAGAUAGAUUGAUUUCUUGUGAAGGGGGUUUGUCUAUCACAAGGAUAUGAUGAAAAUAUUAUUGUGCAGGAAACAAAGACUUCUGACGAUGUUCAUGCCUAAUCAUGGUUCUUAAUUCUUGAUGGUUGCUUUGGUUCUUGAUUCUUGAUCGUUGCUUUGGUUCUUGAUUCAUGAUCGUUGCUUUAAGUUCCAUCAUGAAAGGGAUGCCCUUGUUAUUCAAUUCAAACAAAAGAGAUGAUGCAGAGGCAGGGAUUCAGAUUGUUUCUUUUCGAGGAGAUUCCUUUUCUUUUCCUAUGAUCCUUGGUCAGAUAUUGUGAUUUGAAUAACUGGUUCGAUUCUGAGAAGCAAUAUGUGAUCAGAGAGAUGAUUUAUUUAACCUCCUGUUUUUGAUGCAAUCCUUUUGUUUGGUUGCAGUUGUAUCCGUUGAAGUGUCAAAUUGCACUGAUUCUUUUACUUGAUCAGAGCUAUCACAUACUGGUUUGAUAGAAUGAUAAAUUCCAUUUCCUUUGCUUGCUGUCACUUCAUAUGUUAAGCAUUCUGGGAACAUGAUAUUUCUACUCUUCCUGCUGCUUAAUUGGUUGUUACUUGAGGUUACAUUGCUGACUGGUUCAUCUUGGUUUACCAAAAUACCAAGUCAUUACUUGAUGGAGAUGCAGAGGCUGGAGAAUGGAUCUCGGAUGGGAUUUGUUCACCAAUAUAUAUUACGAUUAUGGUGUACUUUCAUCAUGUUGAUCAAACAAGGUUAUUGGCAAAUUAACUUGGCGCAUUUGCUUUUUAUUAUUCAGAGGCUGGUGUAUUUGUGCUCUUGCAUGUCUUUUCCAUUCUCCCUCCAAGCAAGUUUAGGUUUGUCUGUUAUAAUUCUGAUACACCGCAUCUGCUACUAUACUUUCGGUGGUGAUCCCUUUUACAUCGAGUGCUUAUCUAGAUCUGGGAUAAUUUUGAUUUCUUGGUUAAUCUCAUGCAAUAUAUCAUCUUGUGAUUGAUGUUGGCAGUUGUUUCAUGAUUUCCUGUUGCAUCAGUGGCCUGGUGAUUCUCUCAUUUUCGACCAGCACCUUGAGUUCUUAAUACAAUCUGGCUCCAUUGGAGAGUAUAUUUGUUUUUUCAUGAAGGGUUUCCUCACUUUGAUUAUUAAAUUGAUUGUCCUAACUUUUGGCCUUUAUGCUUUUAGUUCAGGUCUUUCUUAGUUUGUUAUUUGUGAUGUUGCAGAAGAGCUUACGCAACUUGGGAAAAUCUUGCUGAAGGGGUAUCUUCAUCUGAUAAUUGAAGGAAGUGCAGAGGACAUGGAAUGCAAUGAUAUGAUUUUUUUUUUUUUACCGAAUAGAGUUUCUAAUCUUGAAAGCGGGGUUCAUUAUGCUUGCUUUUUCGUGUGGUAGCUGUUCAUGUGGAAACAUAAAGGUUAAUUUAUUAUUUGUGCUGUUGCAGUUUAGCUUGUGCUGCAGGAUACAAUUUUGCCCCAUAUUAGCCAAUAUAGAAGGAAUCGUCCUUAUUUAUAUCAGUGUUUGUAUUUGAUGCCUAUAUGUUUUUAAUCACCCUCUUUUCUCAAUAGGGUUUUCUUUUGGGCUCAUAUUUUAGCAAUCCUUUUAUUUGCUUCACCAGAACCUUGAUUUGAUCAGUGAAGGGCGAUACUAGAGGAAUUAGUGUUCAGAAAGGAUUUUUCAUGAUGAGGCUUCCUCUCUUCCCCUGAUAAUCUAAGGGUCACAGUAUGUGGGGCUUGACAUGGGAUGCUAUCUCGAUAAGUGGAUCUGCUGCUUAUAUGCUUUGUCAAGUUUCAUUUCUGUAUUCCAGAAAUCUCAUUCAUUUGUGUUAUUAAUAACCUGGUGAUGUUCUCUCAUUUUUUUGACCAGAACCAUCAGCUCUCAAGACAUCUGGGUGGAUUGGAUCAUGAUAUGUGCUUUUGAGGGAGGGUGUUCCUCAACCUUUAUUAUAGAAUUGGUAAUAUUUCCCAUUUGUUCUUAAACUUAGAGUUCAAGUCAUAGGAUUGGUAGUUCUGAUGUCACAGAGAGCUUGCACCACAUCAGGUUAUCUUGCUCAAGGGCAUCUUUACCUGAUAAUGAAGAUGGUUUGAAGGAAAUGUAAUGAUAUGAUUUUUUAUGGAGGGAGUUUCUCAUCUUUGAUAGACUACUUUUUCAUACACUAGCUGUUCAUGGGGAAUGUUGGAAGUUACUGUAUGGUUUGUGUUGUUGCAGUAACUUUGCUGUAGGUUAUUAUUUUGCCCAUGUGGAAGGGUUUGUCUGUAUUUCUAGCUUGGCCAUUUUCAAGAUUAAUUUAUAAUUUGUCAAUCUUUGUUCUGAGUGCUGAAAGUUUGAGUAACUGGGAUUAAGGAAGGGUUUUUCAUGAAGGUGCUUCCUUCCACAAAUUCUUUAGGAGUCCAUGAUCUCAUUCAUCUCUGUUGAGUUGGGUGACCUUGUGAGCUUCUCUCAUUUGUUUGACUUCCUUGAGCGCUUGAGAGAUUUUGGGUGAAAGAGAGAAGGUAUGUCUUUUUUAACUAUGGAGUGGGUUCCUUAAGCUCAUUAAUUUGUUAUUGCUGGCAUUGCAUAGGAGCUUGUGCAUCAUGGGCAAUCUUGCUCAAGGGUACUCUUGAUCUGAUAAUGGAAAAUGGUUUGCAGGAAUGAAAUGAUGAAGGUUGUUGUCAUCUUUGAUAGUGGAGUGAAUAUUUUCUAUUCUUUCCUCCACCAGCUGUUCAAACUGAGGAGGUUAAUUUAUUAUUUGUUCUGUUGCAGAGUUUGUGCUGCAAAUCACAGUUUUACCCUUGUGGAAGGGUUUGUCUCUAAUUUAUAUCAUAGUUUUUGUUUGUAUACCUGUGUUCCUAAUUUCCAUAAUUCAAUCUUGAUUUGGAAUCUGUCGAUCUAUAUUCUCAGCACCGCGAUUUUAAUUUUGGGUGACUAUCUUAGCAACCCUUUUGUUUGCUUUUCAGCACCUAAGUUUGAUCAGUGAAGGCAACAUGGAGGGUUAGAGUUAAGGAAGAAAUUUUCUUGAAUCACUUCACAGAUAAAGUUUGGGAUCUUUCAGUUUAUGUUGUGUGGGUUGGAUCCAUAAGAUACCACAGCUUUUGAUGUUCUAUAAUUCACCGAAAGGAGUUAGUAGUUCGAUCCUUUUGAUUCUUAUCCUCCUUGUAACAGGCAUCCUGAGCAAUACGUUGUUUUACAUAUAAAUUUGAUUAUCCUAUUGUUUCUCUCUAUCUACAAUGUGUCAUUAAGGAGUUGAAGAAUAGUUAACUAGUAUGAGAAAAUCUCAUUUUUUGGUAUGGUAUUUAUUGUAUUAUUGUUAUCUAUUCAGACUGUUAGUUUCUUGAUCGCUUGUUUAUCAAGAAUGUGGCAUAUAGGAUGCACAUUAUUUUUUGAUAAGGACUGACUCGAACUUUUUGAAUCUUGUUGGUAACUGCUGCACUGAAGGGAAAAUGCAAACAAGGAGCAGGGGGAGGGCAGGGUAAGGAAACACGGGUGGGGAAACAUGGAUGGUCUAACAUACCUCAUGCAUGGGGACAUUGAGGGAAUUGGUGUGACAUAGUAGAAUAUCAAUGGGAUUAUUGACGGUUUUUGUGUACUAUAGGUUAUGGAGGUAAGUAGAUUAUGGAUUUGGUUAUCUGUGAUGAUCCUUUUUUUUAUUUUCAUAGGGUUGAAGGUAUCUGCUAGCUUGUAUUCAUCUUUAUGCAGUGGCAGUUCGUAAAGCAUAUAAUAUGGAGUCUAUUUUGUUAAGUGGCUUUGUAGCUUUAUCUCUUGGUUCCAGAAUAUAUUCAUUCCCAUUGAUCUGGUAAGCUUGUGACCAUCUCUCAUUUCUUUGACCUGCUCCUUGAUCAUUAUAGGAUGUAUGCACUAAUUGGAAUAUGAUGUGACCGUUUUCACUGCCAUCAUCCUUAGCCUUGAGUUUAGAAUCAGUUAUAGUUGUUUUCCCCUGAUACUUAAGAGUUUAUAUGAUAGGUUAACUUGUUAUUUCUGUUGUUGCAGAAAAGCCAGUGCAACUGGGAAACAAUCUAUUUCAGGGGUAUCUUGAUCUUGAACAUUAUAUAAAAACUGGAGUUUAAUGUUGUGAUUUUUUUGUUAAGGGGAUCGAAAUGUUUGUUAGUGGAGUUUACUAUAUUUUUUUGUUCACAAACUAUUCACAUGGAAGAUUAAUUUAUUAUUUCUUCUGUCGCAGACGUGCUUAUAUUGCAGGAUGCAAUUUUUCCAAGGUAGAAGAGCAGAGUGUGUCCUUUAUAUCCUAGUCAUUGUUUAUGUGCAUUGGUGUACCAAAUAGUCGCCUUGUUCCAUUAUUGGCUUGUGUUCUCUUAAUGGAUCUGGUCCCUUGGUAGAUUUUGGAAAAUCCUGGAUUAUGAUUUGUAAUGAGCUUCAUUUUCUUCCUGUUAGAUUUGCACUAUAUUUUUUCUUGUAUUGAUAAUCGUGCUGUUAUAUAUUGUAGGCAAUGGUGUGUCUUAGAACUGAUAUAAGUUCUUCUAUUGAUAAGUGACUUAGUAGCUGCUACACUUAAAUCUGGGUUUGUAUUUUCAUCCUUGUUCCAAUUACUCAAAUAUUUCUUUAUUAUUGGUAAUCCUGUCAUUUGCCUCACCAGAACUGUGAUUUGAUUCGUGAAGGCAUAAUGGAGCAAUCCAAGUGGAGCAGUGAUUUUUCGUGCAUUGGUGCAUAUGGGAAUUGAUAUAUAUUCUGCUACUGCUGACUGACUUAGUAUCUGUUAGUCUAUUCUGCUCAUCUUUGUUCCUCAUGCUCUAACUUUUGAUAUGGAUUAGUGUUCAUCUCUUUUGCUUCACUAGAAAAUUGAUUUGAUCUGUGAAGGCACCAUGGGGGAAUCUAAGGGAAGAAGCAAUUUGUAAUUAUGAGAGUAGUACUGUAGGUGACAUUUCAGCUGAUGAACGGAAGGGGCUCACUGGCUUAUGUCAUUUCAUUGUAUUUUAAUCAUCAUUUACAUACUGUUGGCUUCUUCAAUUUCAUUAUCAGUAUCAAGAUUAUUGGUGGUUUUACUCUAUUCUUGCUUGCAAGCGGAUGUAGAUUUCUUGAAGAUUUGCAUUUAUUAUGGUAGUGAGUUUCUUGAAGAUUUGCAGCAAUUUUUUUGACUUGGUUUUAGGGUUUACAGAAUUAGAAGCUGUUUGUUCUUGUUUGUGUGUUUGACAAUUGAAUCCGGUUUCGUGUGAUCUUCUUUUUGAAAAUAAUUCAAGUGGUCGAGUUUUUUUAUGGAACUGGGAGUGCUCUUUUGUUAAUCUACAGGCAUUUCUUGUAACGUGUUUUGAUCAGUUUUUGAAUAUCGCCAAUCCAACAAUAUGAGUUCAGACUUGCUUAUGAUUUUCCUGCUGCCAGUUUUACAGUUUUUGGCAUUCAUUUUUACAAUAUUAUUUGCAGUUUGAAAGCAUCACACAAGCAUUAUUUUGCAGCCUGAAGAGUGUUUUCUGAUGUUUCUGAUGCUAAUACUCAAAAGAGAUGUUCCUGAUUCCAAUUCAAUGUUACUUUAGAUUCCAUCUUCCGGUGUUGGACAAGAUAGGCAUGAUUCAGAGGCUGAAAUUGAGAUUGAAGAUUUGCAGUAGUUGAGGAAUCUUCUGUGACUUGGUUAUUAGGGUUCACAAAAUUAGGAGCUGUUUGUUCUUGUUUGAGGAUUUGACAGUUGAAUCUGGUUUAUUGUGAUUUAGUUUUCCUUUUUUCCCUAAAAAAGAAUCCAAGUGGUCAGGUUUUUUUCUUAUGGAAGUGGUAGUGCUCCAUUGGUAAUCUGCAGGAAUCAGCCAUGGUGUAUUCUGAUUGGACCUUUGAGUAUCGCCAAUCUGACAGUCCGAGUUCAGAUUUACUUCAUCAUUUUCUUGUAUUCAGUUGGAGCACUGGUGCCGGGGUUAUGAGUUUUAAGUAUUUAUUUUAAAAAUACUUUCAGCGUGCAAUCAUCGUGGAAGUGGUUUCUGAUGUUUCUGAUGUUGAUACUCAUGCUCGAUGCUUCUGAUUGUGAGUUGUUAUUUCAGUUUCCAUAUUCUGAUGUUGGACAUGAGAAGUCUUUCAUGGGGGUUUCUUCUUCUUUAUAGUUGUUUCUCUUCGUGUUUUUAUUUUUGUUUUUUCAAUUAAGGUUUUGUAUGGUUAUUAUCAUCUGUCUAUUCCCUGGGGAUUUCUUGAAGAUUUGCAGUAAUCAAGGGAACCGGGGAAUUCUUGGAGAUUUGCAGUGAAUUUCUUGAAGAUUGCAGUAAUUAAGGUAGCGAAUUUCUUGAGGAUUUGCAACAGUUAGGUAUUUCUGUAUGACAUGGUUUAGGGUUUGCAGAAUUAGAAGCAGUUUGUUCUUCUUUGAGAAUUCAUCGAUAUGAGGUUUGAACCUGUUUUUUCAUGAUUUUGGGUUUUUUUCUAAAAGGAAUUUAAGUGGUUCAGGUAUAUUAUGAAACUGGAAGUGCCUCUUCAUUAAUCUACAGGAAUCAGCAGUGUUGUGUUUUAAUUGGAUUCUGAUUGUUGCCCAUCCUACUGUACAAGUUCAGGCUUGCUUCAUUAUUUUCUUAUAUUUAGUUGAAGAAUUGUUGCGGGAUUAUGAAAUUUUAGUUUUUUUAAAAUAUAUUAAGGUCAGUUUGAAAACAUCACAGAAGCAUUAUCUUGCGGACCAGAGAAGCAUGAUUUAGAGGCUGGAAUUCAGAUAGAUUGAUUUCUUGUGAAGGGGGUUUGUCUAUUGCAUGGAUAUGAUGAAAAUAUUAUUGUGCAGGAAACAAAGACUUCUGAUGAUGUUCAUGCCUAAUCAUGGUUCUUGAUUCUUGAUGGUUGCUUUAGGUUCCAUCGUGAAAGGGAUGCCCUUGUUAUCCAAUUCAAACAAAAGAGAUGAUGUAGAGGCAGGGAAUCAGAUUGUUUCUUUUUGAGUGGAUUCCUUUUCCUUUUGUAUUAUUCUUUAUCAGAUUUUGUGAUUUGAAUAAUUGGUUUGAUUCUGAGAAGCAAUAUGCGAUCAGAGAGAUGAUUCAUUUAACCUCCUGUUUUUGAUGAAAUUUGCAGUUAUAUGCAUUGAAGUGUCAAAUUGCACUGAUUCUUUUUCCUGAUUAGAGCUAUCACAUGCUGGUUUGAUAGAAUGAUAAAUUCGAUUUCCUUGGCUUGCUGUCACUUCAUAGGUUAAGCAUUGUGGGAACAUGAUAUCUCUACUCUUCCUGCUGCUUAAUUGGUUGUUACUUGAGCUUACAUUGCUGACUGGUUCAUCUUGGUUUACCAGAAUACCGAGUCAUUACUUGAUGGAGAUGCAGAGGCUGGAGAAUGGAUCUCGGAUGGGAUUUGUUCAGCAAUAUAUGUUUCGGUUAUGGUGUACUUUCAUCAUGUUGAUCAAUCAGGGUUAUUGACCAAUUAACUUAGUGCAUUUGCUUUUUAUGAUUCAGAAGAUGUCCUACUCCUUUUUGUCCCACGUGUUGUUGAGUGUGGCCAUUACUUCUGUUGUUACUGUAGUAUUUGGAAGGAUGUGGUGGGCAUCAUCUUCAAAAGGUUGGAUCAUUCGAUGCCUCCCUAGAUACACGGUAUUUGAGGUAUUCAUUAUUGGUCAGGACUACUUUUUCCCCUUGUAUAUUGAUUUUAUAGGACUCAUCCACCUUCCAAGUCCUUUCACAGUUCUUCUUCAUUCUUGGGUUGUAUUAUUGGCUCAUCUUUCUGAUCCAUUAGUGCUCACAAUCAUGGUUUAUGCGUUAUUUGCGGUUCUCUGGUGUAUUUGUGCUCUUGCAUGUCUUUUCCAUUCUCCCUCCAAGCAAGUUUAGGUUUGUCUGUUAUAAUUCUGAUACACUGCAUCUGCUACUAUACUUUCGGUGGUGAUCCCUUUUACAUCGGGUGCUUAUCUAGAUCUGGGAUAAUCUUGAUUUCUUGGUUAAUGUCAUGCAAUAUAUCAUCUUGUGAUUGAUGUUGGCAGUUGUUUCAUGAUUUCCUGUUGCAUCGGUGGCCUGGCGAUUCUCUCAUUUUCGACCAACACCUUGAGUUCUUAAUACAAUCUGGCUCCAUUGCAGAGUAUAUUUGUUUUUUCAUGAAGGGUUUUCUCGCUUUGAUUAUUGAAUUGAUUGUGCUAAUUUUUGGCCUUUAUGCUUUUAGUUCAGGUCUUUCUUAGUUUGUUAUUUGUGAUGUUGCAGAAGAGCUUACGCAACUUGGGAAAAUCUUGCUGAAGGGGUAUCUUCAUCUGAUAAUUGAAGGAAGCGCAGAGGAAAUGGAAUGCAAUGAUAUGUUUUUUUUUUUUUUUUACUGAAUUGAGUUUCUAAUCUUGAUAGCGGGGUUCAUUAUGCUUGCCUUUUCGUGCGGUAGCUGCUCAUGUGGAAACAUAAAGGUUAAUUUAUUAUUUGUGCUGUUGCAGUUUAGCUUGUGCUGCAGGAUACAAUUUUGCCCCAUAUUAGCCAAUAUAGACGAUUCAUAUCAUUGUUUGUAUAUGAUGCCUAUAUGUUUUUAAUCACCCUUUUUUCUAAAAGGAAUUUAAGUGGUUCAGGUAUAUUAUGAAACUGGAAGUGCCUCUUCAUUAAUCUACAGGAAUCAGCAGUGUUGUGUUUUAAUUGGAUUCUGAUUGUUGCCCAUCCUACUGUACAAGUUCAGGCUUGCUUCAUGAUUUUCUUAUAUUUGGUUGAAGAAUUGUUGGGGGAUUAUGAAAUUUUAGUUUUUUUUAAAUAUAUUAAGGUCCAUUUGAAAAUACCACAGAAGCAUUAUCUUGCGGACCAGAGAUGCAUGAUUUAGAGGCUGGAAUUCAGAUAGAUUGAUUUCUUGUGAAGGGGGUUUGUCUAUCGCAUGGAUAUGAUGAAAAUAUUAUUGUGCAGGAAGCAAAGACUUCUGAUGAUGUUCAUGCCUAAUCAUGGUUCUUGAUUCUUGAUGGUUGCUUUAGGUUCCAUCGUGAAAGGGAUGCCCUUGUUAUCCAAUUCAAACAAAAGAGAUGGUGUAGAUGCAGGGAAUCAGAUUGUUUCUUUUCGAGUGGAUUCCUUUUCCUUUUGUAUUAUUCUUUAUCAGAUAUUGUGUUUUGAAUAAUUGGUUUGAUUCUGAGAAGAUAUAUGCGAUCAGAGAGAUGAUUCAUUUAACCUCCUGUUUUUUAUGAAUUUUGCAGUUAUAUUCAUUGAAGUGUCAAAUUGCACUGAUUCUUUUACCUGAUUAGAGCUAUCACAAGCUGGUUUGAUAGAAUGAUAAAUUCGAUUUCCUUGGCUUGCUGUCACUUCAUAGGUUAAGCAUUGUGGGAACAUGAUAUUUCUACUCUUCCUGCUGCUUAAUUGGUUGUUACUUGAGCUUACAUUGUUGACUGGUUCAUCUUGGUUUACCAGAAUACCGAGUCAUUACUUGUUGGAGAUGCAGACGCUGGAGAAUGGAUUUCGGAUGUGGGAUUUGUUCACCAAUAUAAUAUAUAUUUCGAUUAUGGUGUACUUUCAUCAUGUUGAUCAAUCAGGGUUAUUGACAAAUUAACUUAGUGCAUUUGCUUUUUAUGAUUCAGAGGAUGCUGCAAAUAGAAGCAAAAGAUGUCCUACUCUUUUUUGUCCCAUGUGUUGUUGAGUGUGGCCAUUACUUCUGUUGUUACUGUAGUAUUUGGAAGGAUGUGGUGGGCAUCAUCUUCAAAAGGUUGGGUCAUUCGAUGCCUUCCUAGAUACAAGGUAUUUGAGGUUUUCAUUAUUGGUCAGGACUACUUUUUCCCCUUGUAUAUUGAUUUUAUAGGACUCAUCCACCUUUCAAGUCCUUUCACAGUUCUUCUUCAUUCUUGGGUUGUAUUAUUGGCUCAUCUUUCUGAUCCAUUAGUGCUCACAAUCGUGGUUUAUGCGUUAUUUGCGGUUCUCUGGUGUAUUUGUUCUCUUGCAUUUCUUUUCCAUUCUCCCUCCAAGCAAGUUUAGGUUUGUCUGUUAUAAUUCUGAUACACUGCAUCUGCUAUUAUACUUUCGGUGGUGAUCCCUUUUACAUCGAGUGCUUAUCUAGAUCUGGGAUAAUCUUGAUUUCUUGGUUAAUCUCAUGCAAUAUAUCAUCUUGUGAUUGAUGUUGGCAGUUGUUUCAUGAUUUCCUGUUGCAUCAGUGGCCUGGCGAUUCUCUCAUUUUCGACCAACACCUUGAGUUCUUAAUACAAUCUGGCUCCAUUGGAGAGUAUAUUUGUUUUUUCAUGAAGGGUUUUCUCGCUUUGAUUAUUGAAUUGAUUGUGCUAAUUUUUGGCCUUUAUGCUUUUAGUUCAGGUCUUUCUUAGUUUGUUAUUUGUGAUGUUGCAGAAGAGCUUACGCAACUUGGGAAAAUCUUGCUGAAGAGGUAUCUUCAUCUUAUAAUUGAAGGAAGCGCCGAGGAAAUGGAAUGCAAUGAUAUGUUUUUUUUUUUUACUGAAUAGAGUUUCUAAUCUUGAUAGCGGGGUUCAUUAUGCUUGCCUUUUCGUGCGGUAGCUGCUCAUGUGGAAACAUAAAGAACCUUGAUUUGAUCUGUGAAGGGCGAUACUAGAGGAAUUAGUGUUAAGAAAGGAUUUUUCAUGAUGAGGAUUCCUCACUUCCCCUGAUAAUCUAGGGGUCACGAACCGUCAGCUCUCAAGACAUCUGUGUGGAUUGGAUCAUGAUAUGUGCUUUUGAUGGAGCGUGUUCCUCAACCUUUAUCAUAGAAUUGCACCUCAGUUUGAUCAGUGAAGGCAACAUGGCGGGUUAGAGUUAAGGAAGAAAUUUUCAUGAAUCACUUCGCAGAUAAAGAAAAGCCAGUGCAAGUGGGAAACAAUCUAUCUCAGGGAUGUGCUUGUAUUGCGGGAUGCAAUUUUUCCAAGGCAGAAGAGCAGGGUGUGUCCUUUAUAUCCUAGUCAUUGUUUUUGUGCAUUUGUGUACCAAAUAGUCGCCCUGUUCCAUUAUUGGCUUGUGUUCUCUUAAUGGGUCUGGUCCCUUGGUAGAUUUUGGAAAAUGCUGGAUUAUGAUUUGUAAUGAGCUUUAUUUUCUUCCUGUUAGAUUUGCACUAUACUUUUUCUUGUAUUGAUAAUCGUGCUAUUAUAUAUUGUAGGCAAUGGUGUGUCUUAGAAGUUAGAGCUGAUAUAAGUUCUUCUUUUGAUAAGUGACUUAGUAGCUGCUAGACUUAAAUCUGGGUUUGUUUUUUCAUCCUUGUUCCAAUUACUCAAAUAUUUCUUUAUUAUUGGUAAUCCUGUCGUUUUCCUCACCAGAACUAUGAUUUGAUUCGUGAAGGCAUAAUGGAGCAAUCCAAGUGGAGCAGUGAUUUUUCGUGCAUUGGUGCAUAUGUGAAUUGAUUUUUAUUCUGCUACUGCUGAGUGACUUAGUAUCUGUUAGUCUAUUCUGUUCAUCUUUGUUCCUCAUGCUCUAACUUUUGAUAUGGAUUACUCUUUUGCUUCACUAGAAAUUUGAUUUGAUCUGUGAAAGCAUCAUGGGGGAAUCCAAGGGAAGAAGCAAUUUGUAAUUAUGAGAGUAGUACUGUAGGUGACAUUUCAGCUGAUGAACAGAGGGGGCUCACUGGCUUAUGUCAUUUCAUUGUAUUUUAAUCAUCAUUUACAUACUGUUGGCUUCUUUAAUUUCAUUAUCAGUAUCAAUAUUAUUGGUGGUUUUACUCUAUUCUUGCUUGCAAGCGGAUGUAGAUUUCUUGAAGAUUUGCAUUUAUUAUGGUAGUGAGUUUCUUGAAGAUUUGCAGCAAUUUUUUUGACUUGGUUUUAGUGUUUACAGAAUUAGAAGCUGUUUGUUCUUGUUUGUGUGUUUGACAAUCGAAUAUGGUUUCUUGUGAUCUUCUUUUUGAAAAUAAUGCAAGUGGUUGAGUUUUUUUUUGGAACUGGGAGUGCUCUUUUGUUAAACUACAGGCAUUUCUUGUAAUGUGUUUUGAUCAGUUUUUGAAUAUCGCCAAUCCAACAAUAUGAGUUCAGACUUGCUUAUGAUUUUCCUGCUGCCAGUUUUACAGUUUUUGGUAUUCAUUUUUACAAUAUUAUUUUCAGUUUGAAAGCAUCACACAAGCAUUAUUUUGCAGCCUGAUGAGUGUUUUCUGAUGUUUCUGAUACUAAUACUCGAAAGAGAUGUUCCUGAUUCCAAUUCAAUGUUACUUUAGAUUCCAUCUUCCAGUGUUGGACAAGAUAGGCAUGAUUCAGAGGCUGAAAUUGAGGUUGGAGAUUUGCAGUAGUUGUGGAAUCUUCUGUGACUUGGUUGUUAGGGUUCACAAAAUUAGGAGCUGUUUGUUCUUGUUUGAGGAUUUCACAGUUGAAUCUGGUUUAUUGUGAUUUAGUUUACUUUUUUUUUUCCCUAAAAAAGAAAAUCCAAGUGGUCAGGUUUCUUUCUUAUGGAAGUGGUAGUGCUCCAUUGUUAAUCUGCAGGAAUCAGCCAUGGUGUAUUCUUAUUGGAUCUUUGAGUAUUGCCAAUCCGACAGUCCGAGUUCAGAUUUACUUCAUGAUUUUCUUGUAUUCAGUUGAAGCACUGGUGCCGGGGUUAUGAGUUUUAAGUAUUUAUUUUAAUAAUCCUUUCAGCGUGCAAUCUUCGUGGAAGGGGUUUCUGAUGUUGAUACUCAUGCUUGAUGCUUCUGAUUGUGAGUUGUUAUUUCAGUUUCCAUAUUUUGAUGUUGGACAUGAGAAGUCUUUCAUGGGGGUUUCUUCUUCUUUAUAGUUGUUUCUCUUCGUAUUUUUAUUUUUAUUUUUAUUUUUUCAAGUAAGGUUUUGUAUGGUUAUUAUCAUCUGUCUAUUCCCUGGGGAUUUCUUGAAGAUUUGCAGUAAUCUAGGGAACCAGGGAAUUCUUGGAGAUUUGCAGUGAAUUUCUUGAAGAUUUUCUUGAAGAUUGCAGUAAUUAAGGUUUCGAAUUUCUUGAGGAUUUGCAAUAGUUUGGUAUUUCUCUAUGACAUGGUUUAGGGUUUGCAGAAUUAGAGGCAGUUUGUUCUUCUUUGAGAAUUCGUCGAUAUGAGGUUUGAACCCAUUUUUUCGUGAUUUUGGUUUCCUUUUUGAAAAGGAAUUUAAUUGGUUCAGGUAUCUUAUGAAACUGGAAGUGCCUCUUCAUUAAUCUACAGGAAUCAGCAGUGUUGUGUUUUAAUUGGAUUCUGAUUGUUGCCCAUCCGACUGUGCAAGUUCUGGCUUGCCUCAUGAUUUUCUUAUAUUUGGUUGAAGAAUUGUUGUGGGAUUAUGAAAUUUUAGUUUUUUUUAAAAUAUAUUAAGGUCAGUUUGAAAACAUCAGAGAAGCAUUAUCUUGCAGACCAGGGAAGCAUGAUUUUGAGGCUGGAAUUCAGAUAGAUUGAUUUCUUGUGAAGGGGGUUUGUCUAUCGCUUGGAUAUGAUGAAAAUAUUAUUGUGCAAGAAACAAAGACUUCUGAUGAUGUUCAUGCCAAAUCAUGGUUCUUGAUUCUUGAUGGUUGCUUUAGGUUCCAUCGUGAAAGGGAUGCCCUUGUUAUCCAAUUCAAACAAAAGAGAUGAUGUAGAGGCAGGGAAUCAGAUUGUUUCUUUUUGAGUGGAUUCCUUUUCCUUUCGUAUUAUUCUUGAUCAGAUAUUGUGAUUUGAAUAAUUGGUUCGAUUCUGAGAAGCAAUAUGUGAUCAGAGAGAUGAUUCAUUUAACCUCCUGUUUUUGAUGAAAUUUGCAGUUAUAUCCAUUGAAGUGUUAAAUUGCAUUGAUUCUUUUACCUGAUUAGAGCUAUCACUUGCUGGUUUGAUAGAAUGAUAAAUUCCAUUUCCUUGGCUUGCUGUCACUUCAUAGGUUAAGCAUUGUGGGAACAUGAUAUUUCUAUUCUUCCUGCUGCUUAAUUGGUUGUUACUUGAGCUUACAUUGCUGCUGGUUCAUCUUGGUUUACCAGAAUACCGAGUCAUUACUUGAUGGAGAUGCAGAGGCUGGAGAAUGGAUCUCGGAUGGGAUUUGUUCACCAAUAUAUAUUUCGAUUUUGGUGUACUUUCAUCAUGUUGAUCAAUCAGGGUUAUUGACAAAUUAACUUAUUGCAUUUGCUUUUUAUGAUUCAGAGGAUGCUGCAAAUAGAAGCGAAAGAUGUCCUACUCUUUUUUGUCCCAUAUGUUGUUUAAUGUGGCCGUUAGUUCUGUUGUUACUGUAGUAUUUGGAAGGAUGUGGUGCACAUCAUCUUCAAAAGGUUGGGUCAUUCGAUGCCUCCCUAGAUACAAGGUAUUUGAGGUUUUCAUUAUUGGUCAGGACUAUUUUUUCUCCUUGUAUAUUGAUUUUUUAGGACUCAUCCACCUUCCAAGUCCUUUCACAGUUCUUCUUCAUUCUUGGGUUGUAUUAUUGGCUCAUCUUUCUGAUCCAUUAGUGCUCACAAUCGUGGUUUAUGCGUUAUUUGCGGUUCUCUGGUGUAUUUGUGCUCUUGCAUGUCUUUUUCAUUCUUCCUCCAAGCAAGUUUAGGUUUGUCUGUGAUAAUUCUGAUACACACUGCAUCUGCUACUAUACUUUCGGUGGUGAUCCCUUUUACAUCGAGUGCUUAUCUAGAUCUGGGAUAAUCUUGAUUUCUUGGUUAAUCUCAUGCAAUAUAUCAUCUUGUGAUUGAUGUUGGCAGUUGUUUCAUGAUUUCCUGUUGCAUCAGUGGCCUGGUGAUUCUCUCAUUUUCGACCAACACCUUGAGUUCUGAAUACAAUCUGGCUCCAUUGGAGAGUAUAUUUGUUUUUUCAUGAAGGGUUUCCUCACUUUGAUUAUUGAAUUGAUUGUGGUAAUUUUUGGCCUUUAUGCUUUUAGUUCAGGUCUUUCUUAGUUUGUUAUUUGUGAUGUUGCAGAAGAGCUUAUGCAACUUGGGAAAAUCUUGCUGAAGGGGUGUCUUCAUCUGAUAAUUGAAGGAAGUGCAGAGGAAAUGGAAUGCAAUGAUAUGAUUUUUUUUUUUUUUACUGAAUAGAGUUUCUAAUCUUGAUAGCGGGGUUCAUUAUGCUUGCUUUUUCGUGCAGUAGCUGUUCUUGUGGAAACAUAAAGGUUAAUUUAUUAUUUCUGCUGUUGCAGUUUAGCUUGUGCUGCAGGAUACAAUUUUGCCCCAUAUUAGCCAAUAUAGAAGGAAUCGUCCUUAUUUAUAUCAUUGUUUGUGUUUGAUGCCUAUAUGUUCCUAACUACCUUUUUUUCUCAAUAGAGUUUUCUUUUGGGUUUGUAUUUUAGCAAUCCUUUUAUUUGCUUCAUCAGAACCUUGAUUUGAUCCGUGAAGGGCAAUAUUAGAGGAAUUAGGGUUGAGAAAGGAUUCCUCAUGAUGAUGAGUGUUCCUCACUUCCCCUGAUAAUCUAGGGGUCACAGUAUGUGGGGCUUGACAUGGAUGCUAUCUCGAUAAGUUGAUCUGCUGCUUAUAUGCUUUGUCAAGUUUCAUUUCUGUAUUCCAGAAAUCUCAUUCAUUUGUGUUAUUAAUAGCCUGGUGACCUUCUCUCAUUUUUUUGGCCAGAACCAUCAGCUCUCAAGGCAUCUGGGUGGAUUGGAUCAUGAUAUGUGCUUUUGAUGGAGGGUGUUCUUCAACCUUUAUUAUGGAAUUGAUAUAGGAGAACUUACGGUACGUGCUGGCUCGGGAAGCGUGUUUUUGACGCGGUCCAAAUCCAACGCCGACCAGGAAACCACCAACCGACCCACUCCCACCGCCUUUAGAAACGCGUACCCGAUCUGACCGUCGCUUCUUUCUGAUCCGUUCAAUCCCUGCCGUUCCUCCUUCCCCACCUUGUCGAUAAAUAGCGGACUCCUUCGCCACCUCUUCCUCGGCCGUCCAGUUUGUGGGGUGCUGUUGGCAUUCGUUCGGGUUGUCUUUCAUGGGGUUUCUUCUUCUAAUUUAGGUUUUGUAUGGUUCUUAUCAUUGGUCUAUUCAUUGGGGAUUUCUUGAGGAUUUGCAGAAUUAGAAGAAGUUUUUUCUUCUUUGAGAAUUCGUCGAUAUGAGGAUUGAACCUGUUUUUUAGUGAUUUAGGUUUGGUUCAGGUAUCUCAUCAAACUGGAAGUGCUUCUUCGUUAAUCUACAGGAAUCAGCGGUGGCGUGUUUCUAUUGGAUUCGGAUUGUUGCCAAUCCGACUGUAUGAGUUCAGGUUCGCCUCAUGAUUUGCUUGAAUUUGGUUGAAGAAUUGUUGCAGGAUUACGAGUUUUUAGUUUUCUUUUUUAAUAUAUUAUGGUUAGUUUGAGAAAAUCGCAGAAGCAUUAUCUUGUAGCUAGACGAUGGUUUCUGAUGUUUAUGGUGCUGAUAGUUCGGGAUCCCGAUUCAAUGUUACUUCCGGUUUAAUACUAGAUGUCGGACCAGAGAAGCAUGAUCCAGAGGCUUGAAUUCAGACAAGGGGUUUGUAUAUCACAUGGAUAUGAUGAAAAUAUUAUCGUGCAGGGAGCGACUUCUGAUGAUGUUCAUGCCUAAUCAUGGUUCUUGAUUCUUGACGGUUGCUUUGGUUCUUGAUUCAUGAUGGUUGCUUUAGGUUCCAUCAUGAAAGGGAUGCCCUUGUUAUUGAAUUCAAACAAAAGAGAUCAUGUGGAGGCAGAAUUCGGAUUGUUUCUUUUCGAGGGAGUUCCUUUUCCUUUCAAGUAUUAUCCUUUGUCGGAUAUUGUGAUUUGAAUAAUUGGUUCAAUUCUGAGAAGCAAUAUGUGAUUGGCUAGAUGAUUUAUUUAACCUCCUGUCUUUUAUGAAAUCCUUCUGUUUGGUUGCAGUUGUAUCCGUUGAAGAGUCAAAUUGCACUGAUUCUUUUACCUGAUCAGAGCUAUCAUAUACUGGUUUGAUAGAAUGAUAAAUUCCAUUUCCUUUGCAUGCUGUCACUUCAUAUGUAAAGCAUUGUGGCAACAUGAUAUUUCUACUCUUCCUGCUUCUUAUUCAGUUGUUACUUGAGUGAGGUUAUAUUACUGGCUGGUUCAGCUUGGUUUACCAGAAUAAAAAUACCGAGUCAUUACUUAAUGGACAUGCAGAGGCUGGAGGAUGGAUCUCCUAUGGGAUUUCUUCACCAAUAUAUAUUUUGAUUAUGGUGUAAUUUCAUCAUGUCGAUCAAUCAGGGUUAUUGACAACUUAUUGUAUUUGCUUUUCAUGAUUCAGAGGAUGCUGCUAAUAGAAGCAAAAGAUGUCCUACUCUUUUGGUCUUGUGUAUUGUUGAGUGUGGCUAUUGCUGCUGUUGUUACUAUAGUUUUUGGAAUGGUGGGCAUCAUCUUCAAAGGGUUGGGUCAUUCAAUGCACCUUCCAAGUCCUUUCCCAGUUCUUCUUCGUUCUUGGGUGCUAUUAUUGGCUAAUCUUUCCGAUCCAUUAGUGCUCACUAUCAUGGUUUAUGCAUUAUUCGUAGUUCUCUGGUGUAUUUGUGCUCUUGCAUGUAUUUUCUAUUUUCUCCCUCCAAGCAAGUUUAGGUUUGUCCGUGAUGAUUCUGAUAUACUGCGUCUCCUACUGUACUUUCGGCAGUGAUCCCUUUUACAUUGAGUGCUUAUCUAGUUUUGGGAUAAUCUUGAUUUCUUGGUUAAUCUCACGCAAUAUAUCAUCUUGUGAUUGAUGUUGGCAGUUGUUUCAUGAUUUCCUGUUGCAUUAGAGACCUGGUGAUUCCCUUAUUUGUUUGACCAGCACCUUGAGUUCUCAAUGCAAUCUGGCUCCAUCGGAGUAUAUUUGUUUUUUUCAUGAACGGUUUCUGCACUUUGAUUAUUGAAUUUAUUGUACUAAUUUUUGGCCCUUAUGCUUUUAGUUUAGGUCUUUCUUAGUUUGUUAUUUGUGUGAUGUUGCAGAAGAGCUUAUGCAACAUGGGACAAUCUUGCUGAAGGGUAUCUUGAUCUGAUAACUGAAGGAAGUUCAGAGGAAAUGGAGUGCAAGGAUAUGAUUUUCUUUUUUUUUUUUUAAUGAAUAGAGUUUCUAAUCUUGAUAACUGAGUUCAUUAAGCUUGCUUUUUCAAGCGGUAGCUGUUCAGGUGGAAUCAGGAAGGUUAAUUUAUUAUUUGUGUUGUUGCAGUUUAGCUUGUGUUGCAGGAUACAAUUUUGCCCCAUCUUUGCCAAUAUGGAAGGGCUCGUCCUUAUUUAUAUCAUUAAUGUUGAUUUGAUCAUUGAAGGGCAACGCUAAAGGAAUUAGGCUUAAGAAAGGAUUUUUCAUGAUGAGAGUUCCUCAUUUCCCCUGAUAAUCUAGGGGUGGGGCUUGACAUGGAUGCUAUCUCGAUAAGUGGAUCUGCUGCUUAUAUGCUGUAUCAAGAUUCAUUUCUGUAUUCCAGAAAUCUCAUUCGCUUGUGUUAUUAAUAACCUGGUGACAUUCUCUCAUUUUUUUGACCAGAACCAUCAACUUUCAGGAUUCGAUCAUGAUAUGUGCUUUUGAUGGAGGGUGUUCCUCAACUUUAUUAUGGAAUUGAUAAUAUUUCCCAUUUGUUCUUAAACUUUCAAGUCAUAGGAUUGUUAUUUCUCAUGUCACAGAGAGCUGUCACAACAUCAGGUUAUCUUGCUCAAGGGCAUCUUUAUCUGAUGAUGAAGACAGUUCGAAGGAAAUGGAUUGUCAUGAUAUGAGUUUCUAUGAAGGGGGUUUCUCAUCUUUGAUAGUGGAGAGCACCUCAAUUUGAUCAGUGAAGGUAACAUGGACGGUUAGGGUUAAGAAAGAAAUUUUCACGAACCACUUCGAAGAGAGGUUUGGAUCUUUCAGUUUAUGCUGUGACAUUAGGUCCAUAAGAUACCACAUCUUUUGGUGUUCUAUGAUUCACCGAAAUGAUGUUGCAUUACAGAGUUGAAGAAUAAUUAACUAGUAUUUCCAUCACAGGAGUAAUUCUGUUUUUGGUGACAUUUUGGCUGAUAGCAUUUCAUUUUGGUAUGUUAUUUAUUGUAUUACUGUUAUUAAUUUAUGGACUGUAAGCUUCUUGAUUGCUUGUUUAUCAAGAAUGUGGUCUUUUUUUUUUUUUUUGAUGUGGAAGGACUCGAACUUUUUGAUCUAGUUGGUAACAGCCACACUGAAGGGAAAAUGCAAACAUGGAACAGGGAGAGGGAAGGGUGGGGAAACAUGGAUGGUCUGACUUACCUCAUGCAUGGAGGCAUUAAGUUGGUGUUAUAUACUAUAUAGUAGAAUAGAUAAUGGGAUUAUUGAUGGUUUUGGCAUACUAUAGGCUAUGGAGGUAAGUAAAUUCUGGAUUUGCUUAUCAAUGAUGAUUCUCUUUUCUUAUUUUCAUAGGGUUUAAGCUAUCUGCUAGCUCAUAUUCAUCUUCAUGCAGGUCUGUUCUUUAGGAGCUAAGGCAUAUGAUAUGGAGGCUAUUUGAUAGGUGGCUUUGUAGCUGACUAUCUGAUAUCUCUUGGUUCCAGAAUAUCGUUCAUUCCUAUUGAUCUAGUAAGCUGGUGAUCAUCUCUCAUUUCUUUGACCCACCCCUUGAUUGUUAUAGGAUGUACGCACUAAUUGGAGUAUGAUAUGACCUUUUUCAUUGGCGUCAUCCUAAUUCUUGAUUUUAGAAUCAGUUAUAGUUGUUUUUCUCCUGAUUCUUAUAGUUUAUGUGAUAGGAUAUCUUGUUAUUUCUGUUGUUGCUGAAGCUUGUGCAACAGGGAAACAAUCUUUCUCUGGGGUAUCCUGAUCUUGAAGGCUAUAUGAAAGAUGGGAGUUUAAUGUUGUGAUCUUUUAUUAAGGGGGAACACUUUGUUAGUGGAGUUGGCUGUAACUUUUUUUCCUACACAAACUAUUCACAUGGAAGAUUAAUUUAUUAUUUCUGCUGUUGCAGAGGUGCUUAUAUUGUAGGAUGCAAUUUUUCAAAGGCAGAAGAGCAGAGUUCGUCCUUUAUAUCCUAGUUAUGUGCAUUUGUGUGUACCUAAUAGCCAUCUUUUUCCAUUAUUGGCUUGUGUUCUCAUAAUGGAUCUGGUCCCUUGUUUGCAGGCAGUGGUGUGUGUUAGAACCGAUAUAAGUUCUUCUUUUGAUAAGUGACUCAGCAGCUGCUUCACUUAAAUCUGGGUUUGUUUUUUCAUCCUUGUUCCAAUUACUCAAAUAUUUCUUUAUUAUUGGUAAUCCUUUGUUUGCCUCACCAGAACUGUGAUUUGAUCAGUGAAGGCAUGAUGGAUGGAGCAGUGAUUUUUCGUGCAUUGGUGUGUAUGGAAAUUGAUAUAUAUAUAUAUAUAUAUAUAUGUGUGUGUGUGUGUGUACAUAUGUAUACAUAUAUAUAUAUAUGUGUGUGUGUGUGUGUGUGUGUAUACAUGUGUUAUAUAUAUAUAUAUAUGUCUCUGUGUGUGUGUGUACAUAUGUAUAUAUACAUAUGUAUAUAUAUAUACGUGCAUAUAUAUAUAUAUAUACAUAUAUAUAUAUAUGUGUAUAUAUAUAUAUGUAUAUAUAUUCUGCUACUGCCGAAUGACUUAGUAUCUGUUAGUGUAUUUUGUUCAUCUUUGUUCCUAAUGCUCUAACUUUUGAUAUGGAUUUGUAUUUAAGUAUUUCUCUCUUUUGGUUCACUAGAAAUUUGAUUUGAUCUGUGAAGGCGCCAUGGGGCCAUGGGGUAUUCUAAGGGAAGAAGCAAUUUGUAAUUAUGAGAGUAGUAUUGUAGGUGACAUUUCAGCUGAUGAAUGGAAGGGACUCACUGGCUUAUGUCAUUUCAUUGUAUUUUAAUGAAGGUUUUGAAUACUGAUAUCGGUGGCUGUUCCGGCCAGCGGGCGGCAUGGUCCAGCAUGGCCCCGUACCGAUUGGACCGGCGUGAACCAAUGAAGGGAGUAAGGGACGAACCGGAUAGGAGGAAAAGAGAGGAAAAGAGAGAGGGGAGGGAUGAGGUUGAGGCAGCGGAGACGCCAUCGGUGGCCACCUAAAGGUUGCGUGGGCCCUCAGAGGGCCGCGGUGGCCACUGCGGCUCCGCAUCAUUCUCUGGAGAAGAGAGAAGAGGGGGGGAAGAACUGGACCAAGGGAGGUUCGACGGAGAGGCUGCUGGAGGGCCUCCGCCAUGGCCGUCAGGCAGCGUAAACGCCACCUCCGGUUCUACGGUUGUGAAACAGAGGGUUUUUUUAAGCCUCCUAUUUCAGGAGCUUUUUAAAAAAGUCUGACAACAGUGAAGCCGGCAAACUCAUUGCCGGCUUCACUGUUUUUGAACUUUUUUAAAUAAGUAUUGAAAUAGUAAAGCUGACAAACUGAUUGUCGACUUCACUAUUUUUAAUUUUUUUUAAAAAAAAUUCUUAAAAAGUGAAGUCGACAAAUCAAGUGCUGGCUUCACUAUUCAUCUCCCUUUUUAAAAAAAGAUCGAUGCGUGAAUAGAGGUAGUCGCCCCUGUUCUGCGGCUGUGACUCUGUCCGCGCCGCUUGUGCCACCCGGUGGCCAUAACGGCCACUCGGAGAUCUCCGGCGGCCCCUCCACCAUCUCAUUCUCCCAUCUCUGGCGGCCUCCUCUUUCUUUCUCGCUCUUUGCGGUAGUCCUAUCAGGCGAACCGAGUCGUAGAGACUUCUGCGGCCUUCUGGUGGCCAUAGAAGGCCACCGCCGACCUCCGGUGACCUCUCCCUUUCCUCCUCUCUUUCUCUUCCUUUGUUUCCCUUUCCUUCUUUUCCAGCAUCGACGUUUGCCGUUUUUUCUACUGGAACCCCGCCAGUCCGGUUCGGCACGCCCCGAACCACUGGGUUCGGAAUGGUUCUGAAAAUCAUGAUUUUAAUCAUCAUUUACAGACUGUUGGGUUCUUAAUUUCAUUAUCAGUAUCAAGAUUAUUGGUGGUUUUUAUCUAUUCUUGCUUCUAAGUGGAUGUAGAUUUCUUGAAGAUUUGCAUUUAUUAUGGUAGUGAGUUUCUUGAAGAUUUGCAGCAUUUUUUUUGUCUUGGUUUUGGGUUUACAGAAUUAGAAGCUGUUUGUUCUUGUUCGUGUGUUUGACAAUUGAAUCUGGUUUUUCUUUUUGAAAUAAUUCAAGUUGUUGAGUAUUUUUAUGGAACCGGGAGUGCUCUUUUGUUAAUCUACAGGCAUUUUUUGUAAUGUGUUUUGAUCAGUUUUUGAACAUCGCGAAUCCAACAAUAUGAGUUCAGACUUGCUUAUGAUUUUCCUGCUGCCAGUUUUACAGUUUUUGGUAUUCAUUUUUACAAUAUUAUUUUCAGUUUGAAAGCAUCACACAAGCAUUAUUUUGCAGCCUGAUGAGUGUUUUCUGAUGUUUUUGAUACUAAUACUCAAAAGAGAUGUUCCUGGUUCCAAUUCAAUGUUACUUUAGAUUCCAUCUUCCGGUGUUUUACAAGAUAGGCAUGAUUCAGAGGCUGAAAUUGAGAUUGAAGAUUUGCAGUAGUUGAGGAAUCUUCUGUGACUUGGUUGUUAGGGUUCACAAAAUUAGGAGCUGUUUGUUCUUGUUUGAGGAUUUGACAGUUGAAUCUGGUUUAUUGUGAUUUAGUUUCCUUUUUUUCCCUAAAAAAGAAUCCAAGUGGUCAGGUUUCUUUCUUAUGGAAGUGGUAGUGCUCCAUUGUUAAUCUGCAGGAAUCAGCCAUGGUGUAUUCUGAUUGGAUCUUUGAGUAUCGCCAAUCCGACAGUCCGAGUUCAGAUUUACUUCAUGAUUUUCUUGUAUUCAGUUGAAGCACUGGUGCUGGGGUUAUGACUUUUAAGUAUUUAUUUUAAUAAUCCUUUCAGCAUGCAAUCAUCGUGGAAGUGGUUUCUAAUGUUGAUACUCAUGCUCGAUGCUCCUGAUUGUGAGUAGUUGUUAUUUCAGUUUCCAUAUUCUGAUGUUGGACAUGUGUCUUAAUGGCCGGAAUUUCUUGGGAAGGGGGUUGCCUUAUUAGAUGGUGGCUUGGUUAGUUGGUUUGAAACAUGAUGAACAUAUUAUUAUGCAGUGGGACACUGAUUUCUAAUUUUGAUGCUUAAUCUAAUCAUGAUUUUUGAUGGUUUCUUUAGGUUUUAAUUUUUGAGAAGGCUGCCCUUGUUUUCCAAGUAAUUCAAUUCAAUGAGAUGAUGUUAAAGCAGAUGCCCCGAUUGGUUUUGUUUUGAAGGGGGUUUCUUUUCCUCUGAUUAUUUUCAUUUUGUUCAGAUAAUGUGAUUUGAACGAUUGGUUUGAUUAAGAGAAGCAAUAUGUGAUCAGGGAGAUGAUUUUUUUUCCACUUGCACUUGUUGAAAUCUUUCUAUUUGGUUGCCGCAGAAUCUGUUGAGGCAACAAAUUGCGCUACCUGAUCAGAGCUAUCAUAUGCUGUUUGUAAGUGCUGUGGCAACGUAAAGUUGUUUCUGAUCUUCAGUCAUCUUCUGUGGCUUAUUAGCAUCUGUUUCCUGUGCUCUUUACUCAGUUGUCACUUCAGGUUAUACUGCUCAAUUCACCUCAUUUUUCUGUUCAAGAAAUAUGAUGCAGAGGCUGGAAGUCAAGAUUGGGUUUCUUAUGUAAUCUCGUCAUUUGAUCGUUUAGGGUCAGCUGACAUAUUAACUGUGUUUGCCUUUCAUGAUUCAGAGAAUUUAGAGGAGCAAUUGCCAUCUUGCAGUGCAAAGAGAAGCUAUAGAUGUCUUAUUCAUUUGUUUGUUUGUGUUACUGUGUGUUGCUGCUGCUGCUUUAGUGUUUGAAAGGAUGUAAUGAACAUCAUGUUCGAGGGGUUGGAGUUGUUGGACAGCUCCCUAGAUACUAGGUAUUUCAGUUUCUGAUUAUCUAUCAGGAGUAUUUCUUCUCUCACAUGUUGAUUGUAUAGGACUUACUUCCCAUCUCUUUCACAAUUCUUGUUGCUACUCAGUCUACGGGACAACUGCUGAAAGCAAAAAGCAGAGAUGAUUUUGCAACUACUUUGGUACUGGAAAUUAUUCAUAUUCUGUGGGCUAGGUCUGAAGUAUUAUUGUGUUCUUUUUUUCAUUGUAUUUGCAAGAGCUUGAGCUUGGUGAUUGCUGAGGGCCAGAAAAUCAUAGAUUUCCAUUGAUUAUUUGUCUGGCUUGCAGGUUGAUCUUAUACUCUGUUUUGACUCCGCUUCUUUGACUUGAUGACUUUGGGAUUAGUAAGGUUUCAUUUUUUGGUUGUAGUUCACCUGUUACUCAACAUUUCAUCAAUUUUAUCCACUACCAAGGCCCAUUACAUCUGUUGUUUUUGUUAUCAGAUUUCCUGUUGUGAAGAUGCUAUACUUGUUAUAUGUUUAAUAAUAUCAUCAACUGCCAAUCUUGAUCUGUGGCAACUCCUUCAAGGGCUUGUAAUGUUUGGAAUAGUCUUGCUUAAGGGAUCUAGGGACCCACUAAAUUGUAGGAUUCAGUACAUCCUGGAUACAUUUUCAAUGACGCUAUUGAUGAGUGAUUUUGGAGCUUUUACAUGUAAUUGAGGUAUUUGUCACUUGGAUGGGGGAUGUCCUAAGACAUCCCGAUCGGCAUGCUGGGAUGUUGGAGUGACGGUCCUGUCUCGACACAUGGAAUGGUGCCCCGUCUUAGCAUCCCCACUGGAACUUGUAUCCUUGGUUUCAUUGGUACCUUGAUUCUAUCAUUGAGAUAUGGGGAAUUGGAUUAUUGUUGAUGCAAAAGGGUAGCUUGUUACGUCUGCUGCUUUUGCAGAUCUUAUGUUAUGGGAAGCUGUUUGCAUUACUGUUUAUAUUGUGGUUAUUGUUUGUUGACUUCUGUCUUCUCAAUUGACUAUUUACCAAUGUUGGUUCAAUAUGAAAUUAGAGAAUAUGUACCUUCAGAAUCAAGGCAAAGUCUGUAACAUUCUCUUGUAACUAGUUUUGUUUUCAUGUGGGUGUUAACUUUUGACUCCUUGUAGUACUGUUUUAUUGGGCUUGGUGCAUCUUGGAAACGAAAUGAAUCCAGCAGUGGAUAAAUGACUUAAUUCUCGAUGCACAUUUGUUCAAAUUUUGUAAAAUUAUGGAUCUGGUUACCUGUAACCAUUUUCAUUUUUAUGGUUUAGGCCUUAGUAUUCGACUCCAUGGGAGUAGGACUUGGUGUGUCUUGGAAACAAAAUGGAUCCAAUGGUGGAUAAAUGAGUUAAUAUUUGAUGCACAUUAUUGUAAUUUCAUCUUUGUUGCAUAGUGUUAAUCAUGGAUGUUGGGUACUUGGGUUAUUAGCUAAUUGAUUCUUACAUUUGUUUCACCAGAACCAGUGAAGGCAAUCUGGAGGGCUUGCAGUAAAAGAGGUAGUGAAGGGGUUCCUCACUAUUUGAUUAUAUUAAUUUUUCUCUACCCAUGUAGUUUAUAAGAUUAAUUAUUUCUGUUAUUGCAGAAGAGUUUGUGCUGCAAGGCAACAUCUAGGUGAUGUCCAGGUUGCCAAUAAAAAUAUUUGCAGCUGAUUUGCUGUAUUUUCUUAUUUUGUCUGUUCCAGAAUCUCAUUCAUUUCCAUUGCAUUAGUAACUUGAUGUUUUUCUCUAAUUUGUUUGACCAGUAACUUGAAUGCUUAAUGUAGUCUGGGUGGACUGGAUUAUGAUAUGCUUUUGCAUGAAGGGAGUUCCUUAACCUUGACUUUGAAUUAGUUAUAUUAAUUUUUCUCCUUACACCUAGAAGAUCUUGGGCAUCAUCGGAUAAUCUUGCUCAUGGGUAUCUUGAUAUUAUGAUUGAAAAUUUUGUUAUGCUAGCUUUUCCUGCUGUAGCCGUUCACGUGCAAUCAUGAAAGUAAAUUUAUUAUUUGUGCUGUUGCAGAUGAGCUUGUCCUGUAGGACAGAGUUUUGCCCAUAUCGAAGAGUUGGUCCUUGUUUUUGCCAUUCUUAUUGUUUGACACCUUUAUGUUCCUGAUUACCCUUUUUUUUUACUAGUUCUAUUCCUUUGGGUUAAUCUCUUAAUAAUUCUUUCAACUUGCUUCACCAGAAUAUGUUUUGAUAAGGAAGACAAUGCAGAGCCUCACUUCCGCUGAUACUCUAGGAGUCAAAGCAUGUUGGGAACAACAUGAAUGCUCUGUUUCUAAGUGGUUUUGCAGCUGAUAUGCUGUACUAUGUUUCUUAUCUAUGUUCCAAAAUCUUAUUAAACCUCAUUAGUUCCUGCUGUACCAGUAACCUAGUGACUUCCUUUCAUUUUUUUGAUCAGUACCAAGGUUUUAAAUACCGGUGGGACAGACAGUGGGGACCUUGAGCACGCAAGACAGUCUGGGUGGAUUGGAGCAUGAUAUUUAUUUUUAAUGGAGGGGGUUCCUCAACCUUGAUUGUAGAAUUUGUUUUAUUACUUGUUUUUUUCCUUUCAUGCCGACAGUACAUCUCAUAGGCUAUUUUCUUAUUUCUGAUGUUGCAGAAGAGCUUGUUUGACCGGUAACUUAAAUGCUUAAUGUAGUCUGGGUGGACUGGAGUAUGAUAUGCUUUUGCAUGAAGGGAGUUCCUUAACCUUGACUUUGAAUUAGUUAUAUUAAUUUUCUCCUUACACCUAGAUCUUGGGCAUCAUCGGAUAAUCUUGCUCAUGGGUAUCUUGAUAUUAUGAUUGAAAAGUUUGUUAUGCUAGCUUUUCCCUACUGUAGCCGUUCACGUGCAAUCAUGAAAGUAAAUUUAUUAUUUGUUCUGUUGCAGAUAAGCUUGUCCUGUAGGACAGAGUUUUGCCCAUAUCGAAGAGUUGGUCCUUGUUUUUGCCAUGCUUAUUGUUUGACACCUUCAUGUUCCUGAUUACCCAUUUUUUUCACUAGUUCUAUUCCUUUGGGUUAAUCUCUUAAUAAUUCUUUCAACUUGCUUCACCAGAAUAUGUUUUGAUCAGGAAGGCAAUGCAGAGCCUCACUUCCGCUGAUCCUCUGGUAGUCAAAGCAUGUGGGAAACAACAUGGAUGCUAUAUUUCUAAGUGGUUUUGCAGCUGAUAUGCUGUGCCAUGUUUCUUAUCUAUGUUCCAAAAUCUUAUUAAACCUCAUUAAUUUCUGUUGUACCAGUAACCUAGUGACUUCCUUUCAUUUGUUUGAUCAGUACCAAGGUUUUAAAUACCGGUGGGACAGUGGGGACCUUGAGCACUCAAGACAGUCAGGGUGGAUUGGAGCAUGAUAUGUAUUCUUAAUGGAGGGGGUUCUUCAACCUUGAUUGUAGAAUUUGUUCUAUUACAUUUUUUUUCCUUUCAUGCCUACAGUGCAUGUCAUAGGCUAGUUUCUUAUUUCUGAUGUUGCAAAAGAGCUUGUUUGACCAGUUACUUGAAUGCUUAAUGUAGUCUGGGUGGACUGGAGUAUGAUAUGCUUUUGCAUGAAGGGAGUUUCUUAACCUUGACUUUGAAUUAGUUAUAUUAAUUUUCUCCUUACACCUAGAAGAUCUUGGGCAUCGUCGGAUAAUCUUGCUCAUAGGUCUCUUGAUAUUAUGAUUGAAAAGUUUGUUAUGCUAGCUUUUCCCUAGUGUAGCCGUUCACGUGCAAUCAUGAAAGUAAAUUUAUUAUUUGUUCUGUUUCAGAUGAGCUUGUCCUGUAUGACAGAGUUUUGCCCAUAUCAAAAAGCUGGUCAUUGUUUUUGCCAUACUUAUUGUUUGACACCUUCAUGUUCUUGAUUACCCUUUUUUUUCACUAGUUCUAUUCCUUUGGGUUGAUCUCUUAAUAAUUCUUUCAACUUGCUUCACCAGAAUAUGUUUUGAUCAGGAAGGCAAUGCAGAGCCUCACUUCUGCUGAUACUCUAGGAGUCAAAGCAUGUUGGGAACAACAUGGAUGCUAUGUUUCUAAGUGGUUUUGCAGCUGAUAUGCUGUACUAUGUUUCUUAUCUAUGCUCCAAAAUCUUAUUAAAUCUCAUUAGUUCCUAUUUGACCAAUAACCUAGUGACUUCCUUUCAUUUGUUUGAUCAAUACCAAGGUUUUUUAUACCGGUGGGACAGUGGGGACCUUGAGCACUCAAGACAGUCUGGGUGGAUUGGAGCAUGAUAUGUAUUUUUAAUGGAGGGGGUUCCUCAACCUUGAUUGUAGAAUUUGUUCUAUUACAUUUUUUUUUUCCCUUUCAUGCCUACAGUACAUGUCAUAGGCAAGUUUCUUAUUUGUGAUGUUGCAGAAGAGCUUGGGCAACAUUGGACAAUCUUGUCCGAGGGCAUCUUGGGAAUCAUGGGAUAAUCUUGCUCAAGGGUAUCUUGAUAUUAUGAUUGAAAAGUUUGUUAUGCUAGCUUUUCCCUACUGUAGCCGUUCACAUGCAAUCAUGAAAGUAAAUUUAUCAUUUGUUCUGUUGCAGAUGAGCUUGUCCUAUAGGACAGAGUUUUGCCCAUAUCGAAGAGUUGGUCCUUGUUUUUGCCAUACUUGUUGUUUGACACCUUUAUGUUCCUGAUUACCCUUUUUCUUUUUUUUUUGCACUCUUAAUAAUUCUUUCUACUUGCUUCACCAGAAUAUGUUUUGAUCAAGAAGGCAAUGCAGAGCCUCACUUCCGCUGAUAUUCUAGGAGUCGAAGCAUGUUGGGAACAACAUGGAUGCUAUGUUUCUUAUCUAUGUUCCAAAAUCUUAUUAAACCUCAUUAGUUCCUGUUGUUACCAGUAACCUCAUUAGUUUCUUAUCUAUGUUCCAAAAUCUUAUCCUGUUGUUUGAUCAGUAUCAAGGUUUUAAAUACCAGUGGGACCGUGGGGACCUUGAGCAUUGAAGACAGUCAGGGUGGAUUGGAGCAUGAUAUGUAUUUUUCAUGGAGGGGGUUCCUCAACCUUGAUUGUAGAAUUUGUCCUAUUACAUUUUUUUUUCCUUUCAUGCCUACAGUACAUGUCAUAGGCUAGUUUCUUGUUUCUGAUGUUGCAGAAGAGCUUGGGCAACAUUGGACAAUCUUGUCUGAGGGCAUCUUGAUCUAAUAAUGGAAGACAGUUUGGAGGAAGUGGAUUAUAAUGAUAUGAUUUUUUAUGAAAGGGGGUUUCUCAUCUUUGAUGCUGGAGUUAUACGAUUUCUCUUAUACUAGCUGUUCAUGGGGAAGCGAAUUGGAUAAUUUGCUCAAGUGUGCUCUUGAUCUGAUAAAGUUUGGAGGAAAUGUAUGAUGAUAUAACUAAUUAACUAUUAUUAUUAUUUGGAUAGUGGAGUUAAUAUUUGAUUGCUGAUGAACUUGUAUGGAGGUUACAAUUUUGCCUGUAUGGAGGGGUUUGUUCUUGAUUUAUAUCGUAGUCAUUGUUUACUAGAAUGUGGCAUGUAUGUGCUAUUUUUUAAUUUAAAAUAAAAUUUAUAUAAAUAAGUGCAAUGGGGAAAUGUGGAUAGUCAGACAUGCUGCAUGGGCAGACUCUGUUA